AUGAACGCUGGCGGCGUGCCUAAUACAUGCCAGUCGCGCGAACAGACGAGGAGCUUGCUCCUCUGACGUUAGCGGCGGACGGGUGAGUAACACGUGGAUAACCUACCUAUAAGACUGGGAUAACUUCGGGAAACCGGAGCUAAUACCGGAUAACAUGUUGAACCGCAUGGUUCAACAGUGAAAGACGGUUUUGCUGUCACUUAUAGAUGGAUCCGCGUCGCAUUAGCUAGUUGGUAAGGUAACGGCUUACCAAGGCAACGAUGCGUAGCCGACCUGAGAGGGUGAUCGGCCACACUGGAACUGAGACACGGUCCAGACUCCUACGGGAGGCAGCAGUAGGGAAUCUUCCGCAAUGGGCGAAAGCCUGACGGAGCAACGCCGCGUGAGUGAAGAAGGUCUUCGGAUCGUAAAACUCUGUUAUUAGGGAAGAACAAAUGUGUAAGUAACUAUGCACGUCUUGACGGUACCUAAUCAGAAAGCCACGGCUAACUACGUG
rnacentral:rRNA from 1 species